rnacentral:rRNA from 1 species
GAUGAACGCUAGCUACAGGCUUAACACAUGCAAGUCGAGGGGCAGCAUGGUCUUAGCUUGCUAAGGCCGAUGGCGACCGGCGCACGGGUGAGUAACACGUAUCCAACCUGCCGUCUACUCUUGGACAGCCUUCUGAAAGGAAGAUUAAUACAAGAUGGCAUCAUGAGUCCACAUGUUCACAUGAUUAAAGGUAUUCCGGUAGACGAUGGGGAUGCGUUCCAUUAGAUAGUAGGCGGGGUAACGGCCCACCUAGUCUUCGGUGGAUAGGGGUUCUGAGAGGAAGGUCCCCCACAUUGGAACUGAGACACGGUCCAAACUCCUACGGGAGGCAGCAGUGAGGAAUAUUGGUCAAUGGGCGAGAGCCUGAACCAGCCAAGUAGCGUGAAGGAUGACUGCCCUAUGGGUUGUAAACUUCUUUUAUAAAGGAAUAAAGUCGGGUAUGCAUACCCGUUUGCAUGUACUUUAUGAAUAAGGAUCGGCUAACUCCGUGCCAGCAGCCGCGGUAAUACGGAGGAUCCGAGCGUUAUCCGGAUUUAUUGGGUUUAAAGGGAGCGUAGAUGGAUGUUUAAGUCAGUUGUGAAAGUUUGCGGCUCAACCGUAAAAUUGCAGUUGAUACUGGAUAUCUUGAGUGCAGUUGAGGCAGGCGGAAUUCGUGGUGUAGCGGUGAAAUGCUUAGAUAUCACGAAGAACUCCGAUUGCGAAGGCAGCCUGCUAAGCUGCAACUGACAUUGAGGCUCGAAAGUGUGGGUAUCAAACAGGAUUAGAUACCCUGGUAGUCCACACGGUAAACGAUGAAUACUCGCUGUUUGCGAUAUACAGCAAGCGGCCAAGCGAAAGCGUUAAGUAUUCCACCUGGGGAGUACGCCGGCAACGGUGAAACUCAAAGGAAUUGACGGGGGCCCGCACAAGCGGAGGAACAUGUGGUUUAAUUCGAUGAUACGCGAGGAACCUUACCCGGGCUUAAAUUGCAGAUGAAUUACGGUGAAAGCCGUAAGCCGCAAGGCAUCUGUGAAGGUGCUGCAUGGUUGUCGUCAGCUCGUGCCGUGAGGUGUCGGCUUAAGUGCCAUAACGAGCGCAACCCUUGUUGUCAGUUACUAACAGGUUCCGCUGAGGACUCUGACAAGACUGCCAUCGUAAGAUGUGAGGAAGGUGGGGAUGACGUCAAAUCAGCACGGCCCUUACGUCCGGGGCUACACACGUGUUACAAUGGGGGGUACAGAGGGCCGCUACCACGCGAGUGGAUGCCAAUCCCCAAAACCUCUCUCAGUUCGGACUGGAGUCUGCAACCCGACUCCACGAAGCUGGAUUCGCUAGUAAUCGCGCAUCAGCCACGGCGCGGUGAAUACGUUCCCGGGCCU